rnacentral:rRNA from 1 species
GGGGGGGGGGGGGGGGGGGGGGGGGGGGGGGGGGGGGGGGGGGGGCGGGGGGGGGGGCGCGUGGUGGGGGGGGGCGGGCGGGUGGGGAAUGGAUCGGGGCAGGUCCUGGAGUGGGGGAUAGCCCGGCGAAAGGCGGAUUAAGACCGCAUACGAUGUACGGAUGGAAGCGGGGGGCCUGCGGGCCUCUGGAGAGAGGGUGUGCCCAUGGCUGAUGAGGUAGUUGGGGGGGUAAGGGCCUACCAAGGCGACGAUCAGUAGCUGGUCUGAGAGGACGACCAGCCACACUGGGACUGAGACACGGCCCAGACUCCUACGGGAGGCAGCAGUGGGGAAUGUUGGACAAUGGGCGAAAGCCUGAUCCAGCAAUGCCGCGUGUGUGAAGAAGGCCUUCGGGUUGUAAAGCGCUUUUGUCCGGAAAGAAAUCCUUGGCCCUAAUACGGUCGGGGGAUGACGGUACCGGAAGAAUAAGCACCGGCUAACUACGUG